rnacentral:rRNA from 1 species
AUGAACGCUAGCUACAGGCUUAACACAUGCAAGUCGAGGGGAAACGGCAUUAAGUGCUUGCACUUUUUGGACGUCGACCGGCGCACGGGUGAGUAACGCGUAUCCAACCUUCCCAUGACUAAGGGAUAACCUGCCGAAAGGCAGACUAAUACCUUAUGGUCUUCACUGACGGCAUCAGAUGUGAAGUAAAGAUUUAUCGGUUAUGGAUGGGGAUGCGUCUGAUUAGCUUGUUGGCGGGGUAACGGCCCACCAAGGCAACGAUCAGUAGGGGUUCUGAGAGGAAGGUCCCCCACAUUGGAACUGAGACACGGUCCAAACUCCUACGGGAGGCAGCAGUGAGGAAUAUUGGUCAAUGGGCGAGAGCCUGAACCAGCCAAGUAGCGUGUAGGAUGACGGCCCUAUGGGUUGUAAACUGCUUUUGUAUGGGGAUAAAGUCAAUCACGUGUGAUUGUUUGCAGGUACCAUACGAAUAAGGACCGGCUAAUUCCGUG